rfam:Oryza sativa Japonica Group DNA, chromosome 4, cultivar: Nipponbare, complete sequence.
UUUAAGUGCAACUAUGAGUUUCUGUACCCAACUUUGACAGUCCGUCUUAUUCAAAAAAAAUUUAUAAUUAGUAUUUUUAUUGUUAUGAGAUGAUAAAAUAUAAAUAGUACUUUAUACGUGACUUAUUUUUUUUAUUUUUUUUUCAAAAAAGACGUGCGUUCAAAGUUUGGCACGGAAAAUCAUGGUUGCACUUAAA